UUAGUGCAAAAUUUAUCGUCUUUAAUAUACGCCUCAGCAUCCUCUACGAAAUACUGAAUUUGGGUUUCAAUGUUCAGUUUAGCUAAUGAAGCAAGUUGUUCGAUCAAGGGGUUAAAGUAUUUUUGAAUCGCAUUCUCGAUAUCCCAAUUUAUCGGUUCAUGAUUUCCCUCACCUACCAAUAAGCUUAACAGUACUCUAUAUUGAGGAGAAAAUUGAACUGUACGUUUAGUUUCUGCUCGGGAUGGUUCCACUGUAGAGGAGAAACGAGUAAAUUUACUCCAUACCUCCAUUACCUGUGGGCUAAAAGCCUCCCAUAAACAAUUUACGAUUAGGAUAGCCAAUUCUGAUGGACCUUUGCUAGGUGUAUCAAUUAUAAAAUUGUUUUCAUCCCAGAACCAUUGUAGAUCAGUUGAUUCGCGUAGAACUAUUCGAUAAUC